GUGGGGAAUUUUGGACAAUGGGCGCAAGCCUGAUCCAGCCAUUCCGCGUGCAGGAUGAAGGCCUUCGGGUUGUAAACUGCUUUUGUACGGAACGAAAAGCCUCUGGUUAAUACCCGGGGGUCAUGACGGUACCGUAAGAAUAAGCACCGGCUAACUACGUGCCAGCAGCCGCGGUAAUACGUAGGGUGCAAGCGUUAAUCGGAAUUACUGGGCGUAAAGCGUGCGCAGGCGGUUAUAUAAGACAGAUGUGAAAUCCCCGGGCUCAACCUGGGAACUGCAUUUGUGACUGUAUAGCUAGAGUACGGUAGAGGGGGAUGGAAUUCCGCGUGUAGCAGUGAAAUGCGUAGAUAUGCGGAGGAACACCGAUGGCGAAGGCAAUCCCCUGGACCUGUACUGACGCUCAUGCACGAAAGCGUGGGGAGCAAACAGGAUUAGAUACCCGAGUAGUCC
rnacentral:rRNA from 1 species